rnacentral:rRNA from 1 species
ACACAUGCAGUCGAGCGGAACGAGUUAUCUGAACCUUCGGGGGACGAUAACGGCGUCGAGCGGCGGACGGGUGAGUAAUGCCUAGGAAAUUGCCCUGAUGUGGGGGAUAACCAUUGGAAACGAUGGCUAAUACCGCAUAAUGCCUACGGGCCAAAGAGGGGGACCUUCGGGCCUCUCGCGUCAGGAUAUGCCUAGGUGGGAUUAGCUAGUUGGUGAGGUAAUGGCUCACCAAGGCGACGAUCCCUAGCUGGUCUGAGAGGAUGAUCAGCCACACUGGAACUGAGACACGGUCCAGACUCCUACGGGAGGCAGCAGUGGGGAAUAUUGCACAAUGGGCGCAAGCCUGAUGCAGCCAUGCCGCGUGUGUGAAGAAGGCCUUCGGGUUGUAAAGCACUUUCAGUCGUGAGGAAGGUAGUGUAGUUAAUAGCUGCAUUAUUUGACGUUAGCGACAGAAGAAGCACCGGCUAACUCCGUGCCAGCAGCCGCGGUAAUACGGAGGGUGCGAGCGUUAAUCGGAAUUACUGGGCGUAAAGCGCAUGCAGGUGGGUUGUUAAGUCAGAUGUGAAAGCCCGGGGCUCAACCUCGGAAUAGCAUUUUGAAACUGGGAGACUAUAGUACUGUAGAGGGGGGGUAGAAAUAUCACGUGUAGCGGUGAGAUGCGUAGAAGAUCUGAAAGGAAUAACCGGUGGCGGAAGGCGGGCCCCUCGGCAGGAUACUGAUACUCUGAUGCGAAAGCGGGGGGAACAAACAGGAAUAAGAUAACCGUGGUACUCCCCCCCCCCUAAACGAAGUCUACCUCGUAGGAUGUUGGGGCCCUUGGACCCGCGCGUUCCGAGCUAACGCGUUAAGUAGAACAGCCCCCGCGGGAGUACGGUCCCAAGAUAAAUCAAAAUGAAUGACGGGGCCCCACAAGCGGUGACCAUGUGUUUAUUGGAUCAACGCGAAGACCUAUUAUUUGACAUCCAAAAACUUUCCGGAGAGGGAUUGGGCUUGGGGAAUUUUGAACAGGUGCUGCAUGGCUGUCGUCAGUCGUGUUGUGAAAUGUGGGGUUAAUCCCGCAACGAGCGCAACCCUUAUCCUUUUUGCCAGCGAGUAAUGUCGGGAAUCCCAGGGAGACUGCCGGUGAUAAACCGGAGGAAGGUGGGGACGACGUCAAGUCAUCAUGGCCCUUAGGAGUAGGGCUACACACGUGCUACAAUGGCGCAUACAGAGGGCAGCAAGCUAGCGAUAGUGAGCGAAUCCCAAAAAGUGCGUCGUAGUCCGGAUUGGAGUCUGCAACUCGACUCCAUGAAGUCGGAAUCGCUAGUAAUCGUGGAUCAGAAUGCCACGGUGAAUACGUUCCCGGGCCUUGUACACACCGCCCGUCACACCAUGGGAGUGGGCUGCAAAAGAAGUAGGUAGUUUAACCUUCGGGAGGACGCUUACCAC